CUGUGCUGCCAAGUGACUGGACUUCCUUUAUCGUUGUCUUCCCAAUCUCAUUCCAGUGCCAGAUCAACCUUGGUUUGCAGAAGGGUUUAGCUAGACCACUGGCUCCCCCCUUUCAAAGGCUGAGAACAAAU